CGUGCUAAUCUGCGAUAAGCGCCGGUAAGGUGAUAUGAACCGUUAUAACCGGCGAUACCCGAAUGGGGAAACCCAGUGUGACUCGUCACACUAUCAUUAACUGAAUCCAUAGGUUAAUGAGGCGAACCGGGGGAACUGAAACAUCUAAGUACCCCGAGGAAAAGAAAUCAACCGAGAUUCCCCCAGUAGCGGCGAGCGAACGGGGAGGAGCCCAGAGCCUGAAUCAGCAUGUGUGUUAGUGGAAGCGUCUGGAAAGGCGCGCGAUACAGGGUGACAGCCCCGUACACAAAAGCGCAUGUGCUGUGAGCUCGAUGAGUAGGGCGGGACACGUGGUAUCCUGUCUGAAUAUGGGGGGACCAUCCUCCAAGGCUAAAUACUCCUGACUGACCGAUAGUGAACCAGUACCGUGAGGGAAAGGCGAAAAGA
rnacentral:rRNA from 1 species